GAUGAACGCUGGCGGCGUGCCUAAUACAUGCAAGUCGAGCGAACAGACGAGGAGCUUGCUCCUUUGACGUUAGCGGCGGACGGGUGAGUAACACGUAGGUAACCUACCUAUAAGACUGGGAUAACUUCGGGAAACCGGAGCUAAUACCGGAUAAUAUUUCGAACCGCAUGGUUCGAUAGUGAAAGAUGGCUUUGCUAUCACUUAUAGAUGGACCUGCGCCGUAUUAGCUAGUUGGUAAGGUAACGGCUUACCAAGGCAACGAUACGUAGCCGACCUGAGAGGGUGAUCGGCCACACUGGAACUGAGACACGGUCCAGACUCCUACGGGAGGCAGCAGUAGGGAAUCUUCCGCAAUGGGGGAAAGCCUGACGGAGCAACGCCGCGUGAGUGAUGAAGGUCUUCGGAUCGUAAAACUCUGUUAUUAGGGAAGAACAAACGUGUAAGUAACUGUGCACGUCUUGACGGUACCUAAUCAGAAAGCCACGGCUAACUACGUG
rnacentral:rRNA from 1 species